rnacentral:rRNA from 1 species
ACGCUCGACACCUACGGGAGACAGCAGUAGGGAAUCUUCCACAAUGGACGCAAGUCUGAUGGAGCAACGCCGCGUGAGUGAAGAAGGUCUUCGGAUCGUAAAACUCUGUUGUUAGAGAAGAACACGAGUGAGAGUAACUGUUCAUUCGAUGACGGUAUCUAACCAGCAAGUCACGGCUAACUACGUGCUAGCAGCCGCGGUAAUCUGAGCGGGCUGGCAAGGC